rnacentral:misc_RNA from 1 species
CUGGCGGCGUCUUCGCCACCUCAGGCGAUGGAGCAGGAUGAUCCGAUCGCUUGGCUGCGCUGUCUGCCGCGGACAAGGCUUGCUGGAUUGCAACGGCCACCCCGGACUGAUCUUUUGCCGGCUCGGGAGUUUCCGUAUGCGGCACAUCGUUUGCUCCGCCCGGUGUAUCGUGACGGGCGGGAAACGGGACGACCUCCGCAGUGCGCAGUUUCGCGCUCUCUUCGUCGGUCAAAUGCGCCGACGCGCUGGCCUCAAUAUGAGGUUCGUUGUCGCCCCGUGUCAUGUG